GAUGAACGCUGGCGGCGUGCCUAAUACAUGCAAGUCGAGCGAACAGACGAGGAGCUUGCUCCUCUGACGUUAGCGGCGGACGGGUGAGUAACACGUGGAUAACCUACCUAUAAGACUGGGAUAACUUCGGGAAACCGGAGCUAAUACCGGAUAAUAUAUUGAACCGCAUGGUUCAAUAGUGAAAGACGGUUUUGCUGUCACUUAUAGAUGGCUCCGCGCCGCAUUAGCUAGUUGGUAAGGUAACGGCUUACCAAGGCAACGAUGCGUAGCCGACCUGAGAGAGUGAUCGGCCACACUGGAACUGAGACACGGACCAGACUCCUACGGUAGGCAGCAGUAGGGAAUCUUCCGCAAUGGGCGAAAGCUUGACGGAGCAACGCCGCGUGAGUGAUGAAGGUCUUCGGAUCGUAAAGCUCUGUUAUUAGGGAAGAACAAAUGUGUAAGUAACUAUGCACGUCUUGACGGUACCUAAUCAGAAAGCCACGGCUAACUACGUG
rnacentral:rRNA from 1 species